UCGUCAGCUCGUGUCGUGAGAUGUUGGGUUAAGUCCCGCAACGAGCGCAACCCUUAUUGUUAGUUACCAGCACGUAAUGGUGGGGACUUUAGCAAGACUGCCAGUGAUAAAUUGGAGGAAGGUGGGGACGACGUCAAAUCAUCAUGCCCCUUAUGACCUGGGCUACAAACGUGAUACAAUGGCUGUUACAAAGGGUAGCUGAAGCGCAAGUUUUUGGCGAAUCUCAAAAAAACAGUCUCAGUUCGGAUUGAAGUCUGCAACUCGACUUCAUGAAGUUGGAAUCGCUAGUAAUCGCGAAUCAGCAUGUCGCGGUGAAUACGUUCUCGGGGUUUGUACACACCGCCCGUCAAACCACGAAAGUUGGCAAUACCCAAAGCCGGUGGCCUAACUUCGCAAGAAGAGGGAACCGUCUAAGGUAGGGUCGAUGAUUGGGGUUAAGUCGUAACAAGGUAUCCCUACCGGA
rnacentral:rRNA from 1 species